ACCUGCACCUUAACCUCUCUCUCUCUUUUAAACCUUCUUCAGAGAAGGUGUAAGGUGCUGGUGCAUUUGCAGCUGAAUGCCAUCUUGGAAACCCCAUAAUCUCCCCUUUAUUCUAGGCCUCUUUUUACUCAUAAACUCAACACGGUCACCAUCACCGUCGCCGCCCCGACUCACCAACGACGUUCUAAAUGGUUGUCUUGGCUGGAGGUACGGCGGAGAAAUGAGUGUUAUCAGACAUCAUGGUAGAUAGAGAAGCGUGGUCGGUAGAAUCUAGAGUCUUCCUUUGCCUCGGCAAACUUUUGAUGGUACUCUCUGAGCGUGCGGUAGCCAACGAGCUAGACCUAAGAGGGCACGGUUGGACUCGUGGUAUUUUAACACAUAGCCCACCCAUGCGCACAUGGACUCACUAGGCGGGCUCGUAUACAUAUCCCUUGGAUCUGGCUCGUUGGGUUAGCGCGCUCUGUGUUGUCGAACAAUAUGGAGAGAAAGAGCCUGCAUAAUAUCAUGGCGAACAUAAAUAUCGUAAGGGUCUUUGGAACUAUUGACGUAUCAUGAUCGAGGAAAGGGAAACGAACGUUAUCCACCUUACUCAACUUUGAUCUAUGGGGUUCGUCUCUUUUACUAGGAAGCAUAUCAUGAAUCAACAAGCUUUUCAAGCUUUCCUCGACUUUCGUUUCAUACGUCAGAUGAAAAUGAUUGUCGGGAAUGUGAUAUGAUCGAACAAGCCAUUUAUAAGGAUUGAGGUAUAAUUUUGUCGGGAUAAGAAGUAAAUAUGUCAUUUUACAACAGUAAGGAUGUUUGUUCGAUUUUAUUUAGGUAUGCAGUUAACGGCUUUUGUUCAUAAUCUUAAAAACAUUGUUUUACCUUUGCUUGUUCCUGGUGCUCGAAAUAAUUUUGAUGACUUUACGUGAGAAUGUCAAAAGCUAUACAGGUUUUAGAAAGAGAAAAAAGUAAGGUCGUGAAACCUUUAAUAACUCAACUAUAGAUA